UUUGUACUUCCUCCGUUCGGAAAUAUUUGUCCUCAAAAUGAUUAUAUCUAGAUUUGUUUUAGUUAUAGAUACAUUCAUUUUAUUCAUUUCUAGGAUAAGUAUUUUCGGGCGGAGGAAGUACUAG
rfam:Triticum aestivum genome assembly, contig: Triticum_aestivum_CS42_TGACv1_scaffold_579912_7BL